rnacentral:RNase_MRP_RNA from 2 species
UUGUGGGGAGAAUUGUCGAUCGAAGCUUGCAAAUAAGAUAUUUUUUUAUCUUUCAAUUGCUUUGGGUAGAAAGUCUCCGAUCCUGUAAAUCUUUUAUGGAAAACAUAACAGAGAUUUAAACAAUUAUAUGAUAUUGCUAUUAUUCAAUUAUUUAAACUCUAUUAGGUAAUAAUUUUUUUUUAAAUUAAAAAGUUAUUAUCUUCUUUCCCUCUGUUGAAAUUGUAUAGUACUUUCAGGGAGAUGCAAUUUCUUCAAUAGGUGGGUGUAUAUUGUUAAAUUCACUUUGAUAAAGACUUUUUUCAUAUAAAAAGUUAAACCAUAGUUAUGACAAUUGAUGUAGAAUGACCGUGAGGUUUUCUAUGUUUAACGCAAUGGAGCUUACUUUUUUCCCACG